rnacentral:rRNA from 1 species
AUGGGAUUCCAACUCAGCACCUUUUGUUUUGAGAUUUUGAGAAGAGUUGCUCUUUGGAGAGCACAUUCGAUCUAUGAUUUCACAUUCAUGGACGUUGAUAAGAUCCUUCCAUUUACUAGCACCUUAGGAUGGCAUAGCCUUAACGUUAAUGGCGAGGUUCAAAAGAGGAAAGGCUUGCGGUGGAUACCUAGGCACCCAGAGACGAGGAAGGGCGUAGCAAGCGACGAAAUGCUUCGGGGAGUUGAAAAUAAGCAUAGAUCCGGAGAUUCCCAAAUAGGUCAACCUUUUAAACUGCCUGCUGAAUCCAUGAGCAGGCAAGAGACAACCUGGCGAACUGAAACAUCUUAG